GAAACAAGUUAGAGUCCUACAGCCAUACCAGGGACAGAGCAGUCCGUCAGGGCUCACGCACAUCACCUUCCAGCACUCCUGCUACAGCAGGCCCUUCUCUUGCAGGGGUAAUUUUGACCACAGGAACUGAUUCCUUCCCUGAAGCAUCCUAGGCCUUUCUGUGAUUUAAGAGGGCUGAAACAACUCCGUGGCACGUGGUGACUUUCUGCUGCAUUGUACCCAGAUUUUGCUUGGAAAUGGACCACAUCUCCAGAGGUGACAACAGAUUUCUUUUCUUCGUGUCCCCUCCUCAGCUGGAGAUGGACACUUGCAUGGUUUAGUUUGGCAUCCUUUGUUUCAGCUCUGCAUUUUAAAGUAGAGUUGACAUCAGAUGUUAAAGUGAUAAGCCAGGCGAUGGAGUCCCUAGAAGACUCACAGCUUGUGCAAAUGGGCAUUUUUGCCACAUCAAGUCAGUAGCAAAUGUGUACAGGGAAAUGUGAGGGAAAUAUAAAAGGAAUGAGGAUGUCUUUGGCUGAGGAUUGGUAUUCUCCAUCAUGCAAAGACAGGUGACUGCACAGAAUCAAAGAAUCAUAGAAUGACAUAAUGUCUUAGGUUGGCAGGGACCUUGAAGUUCAUCCUCUCCUAGCCGUUUGCUGUGGGCUGGGUUGCUCCACACCAGAUCAGGCUGCACAUGGCCCCAUCCAACCUGGCCUCCAGCACUUCCAGGGAUGGGGCAUCUACAACUCACCAGGCAGCCUGUACCAGUGCCUCACCAACCUCUGAGAAAAGAAUUUCUUCCUAACAUCUAACCUAAACUUCCCCCCUUCUUCACAAGGAAUGACAUCUCUUCCAUCUAUUUCUAUCCUUUUUCUGAAUGUUCACUUGGGCCUGGUUUUCUGGAUAAGAGUGACAACACUUCAGGGUUGGUUUUUCUUUUUCUUUCUUUUUCUUUUUCUUUUUCUUUUUCUUUUUCUUUUUCUUUUUCUUUUUCUUUUUCUUUUUCUUUUUCUUUUUCUUUUUCUCUUUCUUUCUUUCUUUCUUUCUUUCUUUCUUUCUUUCUUUCUUUCUUUCUUUCUUUCUUUCUUUCUUUCUUUCUUUCUCUCUUUCUCUCUUUCUCUCUUUCUUUCUUUUUGACUUAACUGGAAUCAUUUCUCCAUUCAUGGAAGACUGGGACAGUUUUGAUAGGCUCGCAGAUGCCAUAAACCAAAAGAAACAACACAUUCAGCCAGCCAGGAUCGCUUCACUGGAUCCAUAUUUCACCAAAACAUGCAAAUCUGAUCAAAAUGAAACACUUCAGAAAACAUACUGAUUUUGUCAGCACUUCGGUUUGAGAAAACAGAAGGGAGGAACACUUCAACUCCUGUUGAAAUGUGCUGUUUUAAGGUAUGGUCAUUUUGGUUUUGUUUACAUUUCAGAGAAGCUUUUCUUUGGCAUUUUAACAUUGAGUUGCCUUUUUUUCCCCUAAAAUUGAAUUGUUUCUCUAAAAAAAAGAACAACAAAAUCAGGUGACAGCUGGUCUUUUAUGCUAAAUUCUGAAGCUUGCGGGCUUAAGCUUAUAAGAAAAAAGAUAUGUCUAGAUCAGUAGCAAUCAGAAUGUGUUUCAGCAGAGAUCUACACAGUAUCAAAAGCUUAGGCAAUUCCUCUUGUCUCCCAUCAUCUGGGAGAAAGUAGGCCUGCAAAGGAUUCAAAUAACAAAUUAGUAUGGAAUCAUUACGAGUAAUUUGACUUAUGAAAUUAGAUAUUUCUGAACAAACAAUAGAUGCAGCUCGAACCCCCUUCUUUCCCACAACUGUCAAACAUGGUUGUAUUUGUGAGGCCUGGGAUAAAAUUCAGUUCAAUUUCUUGACAAAAUCUUUGCAGAAUCAAAGGAGGCAAAUGUAGCAUGGAUCCUGAAAGCUGAUGAUGAGCACACAGAAUCCAAACCUGACUGUAAGUCAUUGGCACAGUAGGUAAGGCUGCUUAAAACUGAACAGACAGAGUAUCCCAAAUAUUUCCAACUCAUUUUUUGUUAUAAUUCAACAUACUUACAGACCAUUUGUGCUUGUCAAAUAGAUGCACUGAAAUACUUUUUUUAUACUGGAUCUUAUGUCAGAUUUUUAAUUCUCACUGAGUUCCUGUACAUCACAAUUUGAAAAAUUGAAAUCUCUUCUUCAGUUUAAAUAUUUUUAUCUAAAAAUAACCAGUCCUGCACAAAACGUGGCUUUUACAAAAAUCUGUUCACAUUAACAACAUCUAAUGACUUCUAAGUAAUCAUUUCUAAGUGAUGAGUUCUAUGUACUGCUUCUGAUAAUUGUUUCAGACUGCAUAUGGGGAAAAUAGGCACAGUCAUAUCAACAACAAUAGAAUGGACAUGUCUAAUUCCUCUUAUGCCAUCACAGUAAAAUCAGUCCUGAAUAAUAACAUUACAGCGAGGCAACUGUACAAUCCUUUACAGCAUGGCAUGGAAGUAAAACACAGAAAAAGUUGAUUGAUUCUGAGAAACGUCUGGUCUCCUUACGAGACACACACAAAAAAGUUACUGUUAGAGAAGUCCAAAAGAAGCAGCUAGUUGUGUGUCAGCCCGCUAACUUUGUGUUAAUGAGCAAUUAAAGUGUGUUCACAUGGAUACAAGGUGAUUAGGAGUGAAAACUUGUCAUGCUCCAGAAGGAAUUUUGUUUUGGUUCCUAAAAGGAACUUGUUGUUUGCUUACGAACACACAGAGGAUCAGAGCAAAAAAUCAGAUUCACAGUGUAUUUUAAUUAAUGAAUCAAGUUUUUGUUCAACCAAAUGAAAGACAAGCUGUAAUUUAAUUAAUUGUCUGAGAGUUGGACAGCCCAAUCUCAUCAAGACUAAUUGCUUUCCAGUUAACGCUGGAAAUGCCCACCACUUUGCAGGGCUGAGCUCAGUUGUUAAUACAACUGUUGCAAGGAGCUGCCACUUAGGGAGGACAAAAUGGGGACAGGAGGCCAACUGUUCAUGAAAUGAGCGUGACAAUCCUCUCGAUGUUUCUCCACUCAGCACAAAAAGAACAAGACGGGUUUUAUUACAAAUGGAAAUAACAGGAUAACUCCAAACAAACAAGGAAGCUCGGCGGGAAGAGAUGAGAUUUGGAGAUGGGGAAUGGAUACUUUCAGGAGUUCAUACAUCCACGUGGGAGCAGCGCGCAGGGCAACAGAGGGUGCCAUUGUGCCAUUGUGCUCCUCCUGCAGGGUGGGUGAGGGUGGUUUUCCCUGUGAGCUCCGAGAUCUGGCAGAUAAAACACAAUCGGAUUGAUUUAUUUAUAAAUCUCCAAGAAGCUUUGUUUGCACAGCAGGCUUGGCAGUACAAGCAGAAGUGCACUGUGCAUGUUUUCAUGUAUAUACGUAGAAAUUAAUUAACACACAUAUUUCUGGGGAAGCGCCUACAUGCAAUAAAGCACACCUCCUAGGAGGACUGUGACAAGUGACCAAAGCACAUUUUCCUUCCUCGCUUCAUUUGCAUUUCAUCCACUAAUUUCUUGAUCUGUCAGUCUGCAUGCUCCCAGCUAAGCCUUGUCUCUUCCCCACUCCCCAGUGCUUUGGCAUUAGGAUAUUUCCCCACAAAUCUACUCUGGCUUGUGGUCCAGCAGAUCAAAGUGCUCAGUUAUUGGCAGCAUUUGUUUAUAGUAAAAAAUGCCAUAGCUUCAUACCCAGAUUUAGCACUCGCCUCAGUGCUGUAGAAAAGGGACAUUUUUAGAUACGAGAUGCUCAUUCCUAGCUCUCAAGUUAUCAGAAUUUAAAUUUGUAAGGUUCUUAUGAACAGAGAAGGCUAUUUUUCGUCAGGAUGAAGGCCUGCGAUGGACCACAGCUAAUAAAGCCCAUUAAUUUAUUACAAGGAAUGUAAAAAAGUAGUCCUAAUUAAAUAUUUUUGAGGUCUCCUAAGCUUUCCUAAAAUAGCUGUUGUGUAAGGGAAGGGGCAUAAGCUGAAUGCAUGACGAGGAGACACAGUUUUCAUGGCACUCCUUUAGCUGCCUGCAUUAUUCAUACCACUUGCUAUGUGUCAAGCCCAAGGUCUGGAUGAUAAAACCUCUUCCCCCCACUGCCGUCUAUGCCUUACCCAGAUGUCAUAGAGAAGCACUUGUAAACUCCAUGCAGCAUUCGCUUCACACAGCAGAAGACACUUGGUGGGUAAAAUCACAGAUGCCCUUUAAAUCACCGUAAAGCAGGCCGAGGUCUUAAAAGCUUAAAGAGAAGAAGCUGAGCUGUACAAAUGUUGGUGUAAAAGCUCUGUUGUACAAACAAGAGCUGCGUUCCAAAGAUGCUGCCACCUUGGAUUUCACUAAAAACAACACCUCCCCCCUUGCUGAAUUAUUAGGUCUGUGAAUCCUCAAGACAAACGACCUUUAUUUUGAGUCUUGUACUUCACAAGCCACAUGUGGUGAAACACUUACCCUGCCAGGCUAAGGGAAAGCUUUCUGCAGAUUCAUGAGUUCUGCAGGCUCAGCAUCCUUACUUCCACCAGAGCACAGACAAUGUGUUGUCGCAAUGCAGAUCUAUAUAUUUGAAUAUCCAUUUCUUGCUGGGGCAUUGACACAGGCUCCCCAGGGAGGUGGUGGAGUCACCAUCCCUGGAGGUGUACAAGACUGCAGAGAUGCGGCACUGAGAGACGUGGGCAUGUGGGCAUUUGUGGGCAUGGAGGGGUUGGUUGAUGGUUGGACUAGAUGAUCUUAGAGGUCUUUUCCAGCUCUAAUGAUUCUAUGAAUUUGUGAAUAAAAGUUUGGGUUUCUGCCUGUGAUUGAAAGGCAGUGCAGCCCUACAUCCAAUUACCCGUCUGUGGAAUAGGAACACCAGCAGCACUCUAAGUGGAAGAGGAUGUCAUACUGGGCACUCUGAGGCUGCAACAAAAAGACCAGUACACAGUAGAGGAGGGCAUCUACACACACAGCCUGCUUUCUUAGCAACCUGCAGUAUGUUAGGCUAAUAACCAAACUGUACAAAUGACCAUUGCCACAGCAUCUUUGGGCUAGCAAUAUAACAUCCAGUGUAAAGGAAUAACCAUGCUUUUCCUCUUAUCUUGUACAAAACUUGCCCUGUUGUAGGGAAACUGUGACUCUACCUCCUGAAAUUCAUAGGAGCUGUCAUGAGCAGCCAGUUUUUUCCUUUGGAACAAGGUAAACUCCCCUGUUCAGACCUUCAAAAGUUUGUGUCUAAUGUUGCCAACCUCUCUCUUCCUGUCCCUUCCUUACCUGCCUUUGAUGGUAAGCCAGGUAUUGUUUGGAAGAUUUAUAUACCAAUUUCUUUUCUCUUUACCAUUGAAAUGCCAUCAGCUAUAACGGAAGAGCUCUUUUUUUGCCUAAACACACUGUUUGUGUGAAGGCUGAUGAUUUCAGUCAUUUCCCCUUCCAUAAAUUCUGCAGAAUUUACGCUCAUAGAUACUCCCUGCAAAUAUGGUGGUGACAAGAAGUCACCAUGGUGCCUCUGAGCUAGCAGCAGGGACAAUCAUGCAAGAAUGAAAGGUAGCAUCUUCUGGGAUAUGUACGAGAUAUGGAGGCUGGUGGCCCUGCCUAUGGCAGGGGAGUUGGAGCUUGAUAAUCCUUAAGGUCCCUUCCAACCCAAGCCAUUUUAUGAUUCUAUGAAUCUAGGUGCACCUAAAUGAGAACUGAGCACCUACCUGCUUUCCACCUGCAGCUAGGAAUUGGUUAAGAUAUGAAUUUCCAAAAUUUAUUCAUUCCAAGUGUUUACACAUUGUGGUCUUACAAUUUGCUAUCUUUGUUUUUAUGACUGGGUCGAACCUUUGAAUUUCUAUCCUAUGCAAAAGUCUGACGUUUCAACCUGUUUCUAUUCUCAGGCAGAACUAAAAGGAAAUGAACAGAAAUUCCAGUAAAAAAAAAGCUAGUGCCCAUCACUCGAGCCAUCUCCUUUUGAAUACAACUGAAUGGGUUUUGUCAAACUGUCCUUUUCCCUCUUCCUAUCAAAAUGUAGCAAAUAUGUUUUUUUUUAAGUUUCCUAUAAUUUUCUUUAAAAAAACUAAUCAAAAUUGUUGUCUUCCCAUGGAAGAUUUCUUUUUUGGGCAAAACUGUUAUUCUGACAAAAAACAAAACAAAAUAACAAAAAACCAAUAACCAACAAGCAUUAAUCAAAAGUUAGAUUAUAACUGUAGUGCUUUCCUGCCUGAUUUCUGCCACAUUCGUGAACUCAGAGACAUGGAGACCCACGCUCCACUCUUCUAAAAGUCUUUUUGACAUCGCAACCAUUUUGCCACAAAAAUCACUUGCAGUAAUAACAUGAGGGCAUUCACUGAUUUGAGACCUCAGCACAUCCUGACCUGGUAACAAAGGACUUCUUAGAGAGACUUUCCUGAUAGAGUGGUUUAUGGGCUGGGAAACAGUUGGCUGUGGCCAAGAUGAUUGUACAUUUUCACCUACAGAAUUGCGCCUUCACUUGAAACUCUAACACUUAACACUAUGAUUAGUCUGCUAUGCCACGUCCAUCCUAUGAUAUAGAAUACCACAAGACCCUGAACAAAAUGGUGUAUUGCUUAUUUGUGAGAAAUGCUAUAUAAUCAGAGAGACUUUCCAGGAAGGGCUGCUAUCAUUCUGUGCAAAAGCCCUCCCAGAAGUGCUCUUGCCCUUCUAAGAAUAUUUGGAAGAGAAGAAUGGUCAGGAAAAAUAGAAACUAUGGCAUGGGGCAAUUUCACAGCACUACCACCCUUAGAAUCUACUCAUACUAACACUAAAACAGAAUUAUAUUAAAUGACAUGACAAACAUGCUAAAAGAGUAGAACUGCAAACAGUCAUCACUUAUCUUUUUAAUGGCACGCUACAGUUCUGCACACACAUCUGAAAUACACCCAGAAGGAUGUUGUUUUUGUUAGAGAGCACACAUAACAUAGUUAAGAGUUAACCUCACGAUUCAAAAACUGCAUCUUCAUUCAACUUCCUGGCCUACACCAAUGCUACAUCACCUUCUGAGCUAUGUGGGAUGGAUUGUUGGCCACUGCAGUACCAGGCUGCAAGGUACAAACCAGUGCCUGAACAUUGUUGCCUGGGGCAGGGGUUUAUUACUUGCUCUGUGGCACCUGUCAGCAUCUUACCACGAGCUUCCAUUCUAAAUUUAUGAAUAGGUACUUGGGCACAGCACACAGGCAUUAUACAUGAUCUUCAGCAUAAAAAAGGAUCAUGCCCUUAUCAGUUUUCUAUAGUAAUUUGCUAAAUGUCAUUGCCCUUACCCAGGUCUCAUUCUGCAGAGCCCUGGCAUGCUGGGGUCCUGCUAAAGGCAGUCUGUCCUUCCCCUUGCACUCGUAUGAGUGUUUGCUCUGUCAUGAGAUCUUCUGAAUGCUGGAUGUUUGAUAGGCCAAUAAGCUGCCUGAGUAAAUAUUUUUACUUGCUCUCAUUGAAUACUAAAGCCAACGUUUCAACUGAAAAUAGCUUGGGGUAAAUAUCGUUGGUUUUAAAUGAUUUUUAGAGUAAAUUCUCUUUGUGGACUCAUGGAUUAGUGCUCCUAUGCUUUUAAAAGUGCAUCACACAAUAUUGCAGAGAAAUAACAUUUCAACCACUUGAACUAUUACACUUUAGACUCACCUAUUUUUGGAAGGCUGUUCUAAAUUUUUCAUGGAAAAGUAAGGGAAAAUAUGAUAGUCCAAAAACAGUGAUACAGGUAUACUGCUGACAGAAAUUUGAUUAUAUGUCUUAAGUGUCUGGUUGUAGUUACUGUCUACUUUGCUGCAACCUAAAGAGAUUUUAUAUGAAAAAGAAUAUUAAUAAAUUCUGGACUAGUUCUUAUUCAAGAACAUUUGAAAAAUAAAGCAGAGUUUUGUAAAUUACAAAGGUAAAAUCCUAGUUUGGAUGACGAGCUACUUUUGACAUUACUUGAUAUAAGAACUUUACAUGGAUCUUUUUGAAAUAUGGCUCUUAUUACCAUUCAUAUAGACGACAUUUCCUUUUCUUGAUUCAAUCGUGAAAAAAUCCAACUUACAGAUAUCCCAUAUAUUAGUACAACUUCUUUCACACAUUACUACAGCAUAAUGUAUUUGGCUGCACUUGCUUCGAACAGGUCCAUUCUACCCAUAUGGUCUGGCUUUAUUAUUUCUUGCUCCCAUCUGUUUUAAGUUAUCAUUCUUGGGCUACAGUUUUCAAGAGAUGCUCCCUAGCUACAUGCACAAAGGCUGUUUCUGAAAGAAAAUGUGAACAACAGGUGACUUCUACACUCUGAUUCACAUCUGUGCAAGGUUCAUUGAGGUCAGUGCAGCCUAUUGAUGUAGAUUUUGGCUUGACAGUCUGUAAAACCCCAUUUUGCCUGCAUGGUCUAUGUGUUACAAAACCCUAGAGGCCUAGUUUGAAAAUCCUUGAUUCCCAUGAAUACUCCUGCUGGCCAGUAGUGUCUUGACAGAAGUUGUCUUUUAUUUUUAUGUUCCCAUUCAAUUCUUUUCCCACCAGUUUUGUGAGUAACAACUACAUCCUCCAUGCUGGAGAAGUAAAACAACAGCCCUUGCCCAAGGCUUUGCCAUUUUUAGCAAAUAGGUUUAAAGGUCAAAAUCUAGAAGAGAUUUUGCCUGACUUCACCAACAUUUUCUUGAGUCAGGAUGGGCUGGGAACCCUGGAGAGUAAAACCAGCCCGCAAGACCAUCUCCUACCACCCAGCCCUGCUCCAUGCUCACUGGGUGGUCAGACCUUCAAAGCCACUUCCUUGUUAGGAAGUCCAUAAUCUUCUCCUUUCUUGUUCUCUCCUGAAACUUGAUGUUCCCAACAUAGUGAAGCCAUUUGACAUUACUGAUCUCUCCUAAACACCUGCUAUCAAAUGCAUCAAAUCUUUUCUUGUCAGCUUGCGUAAUGCCCCAGGUCUUCGCAGCAUCGAGCAAAACUGAUACCACACAGCUGUUGUAGAGUCUUAUUUUUUGUUUUGCGGACAUGUCACUACCCCAUACUUUUGCCCUUGAAUUUAUUUACAUUGAUCUUCACCUUCUACUGGUCAAGCUUAAAAUGACAUCAGACAAAAUCCAGACAGAGUGGUCCAGAUCACUGGGAAAGGAAAUAAAACAAAAACAUGAUGCCAUGAUUGCAACUGACGCCAAAGAGGAAGGGCAAAGCCGUUAUUUCUUUUCCUCAAUAAACCCAAAGCCACUAUUUAAUCAAAAGCUUCGGUGUUUGCUUCGAGUGAAAACGUCAAAAUUUAGGGUAUUUUCUUUUCUUUUCUUUUUUUUUUUUUUUAAGGUGAUCACUGGUGUUGUAGCUCACCAAAGAGGAGCCAAAGGAUCUGGCAGUUCUUGUUAAUAGUUUGACAGAUAAUAUUUAUGAAACCCCGUUAAAAAAGAACGGAAGGCAGUGAAUCCUAGAUAAUUUAUUCAGUAUGAAGGAUGGGUUUUCUUUUUCAGAAGGGAAAAACUGUGUUAUUACUGAGUUUGCUGGUUAAAUUCUGCAUCAAAAUGUGUAAAGAAACAAUGUAGAGAAAAAUAAAUGAAAGUGAAAGCUCUGUUUGUAAUUGUUUUCAUUUGUCCAGAGGUCAGUAGUAGCUUUACUAACGACCCUUACAAUAUCAUUUUGCUCUUUUUAAAAGUCACAAAGACAAUGUAAAAGAGAACAGAAUAUGGAAAAAAAAUCAAAGUAAAAUUAAAAGAAAAAUAUCUUCUGAAAAAAGACUGUAGCUGUGUAGAAUAUAUUUUGUUUAUAGAGAGGUCCCAAGAAGCAUUUAUACAACCUAUAACCGGACUAUGCCAGCCCAGGCAGAGCACUGCAUAUUUGGUAAGGAUAAAAUUAUGUUGCAAAAUAAAGAAAACUUCCUGCCUAAAAUUCCAAAUUCCUAAGAAAAUAAAUGCAAUAUGAUCUAGACAUAAAAACAUAUAUUAAGCAUAAACCAUAAGCAUAAACCAAUAAAUAAAUCUAGCCCACUCUUCAGUAUGGAAAAGAACAUUAAUAAUAUGAACAGUAUGUGUAAAUUUUGUUUUAAAAAACAAGAUGUAAU
rnacentral:lncRNA from 1 species